rnacentral:lncRNA from 1 species
AGAGCGAGAAGAGGUCUACUGGAACUCCGAGUGUCCGCUCUGACUCAAGCUGGAAUAGUCAGAGCAUAUUACUUCAGAACAAAUUGGUUAAUAGCUGCAACAGUUCCUUGCAGGAGAAGAAACACAAUAGUGAUCACAUUCCAAAGGUGAACAAUAGUAAGAAGAGUUUUAUCUCAAACCUAAGGUGUAAAUGCGUGUGUACUGAUGAGAACUCAGUCGAUGUCGAUGAUAAGAUCUCAGUUAAGAUUCAGAAGCAAGAAGAGUUGGUGCAGAGGAAGGCUCCUGAAGUGUUUGGUUCUCCUCUACACAUUGAGAAGAGGGUUUUUGUUCAGAAGAAGCUCACAUUACCUCCAUGGGAAUCAAGAAUAGAGGAAGAAGACACAAAGAGUGAUUCCAGCUCGGAUCUUUUCGAGAUAGAAAAUCUUACAGGGAAACCAAAACCUAUUCUUGGAAGGCAAGGAAGCGAUCCGGCUUCACCUACAUGUUAUGCUCCAAGUGAAGUUAGCAUAGAGUGGAGCAUAGUGACAGCAAGUGCAGCAGAUUUCUCUGUUAUGUCAGAAUGUGCAACAAGCCCUGUAAGAAGAAACCGAUCUUCACAGAUUCCUCAGAUCCCUACUAAUACUUACAUCGAUAAAAACGCACCGCAGAGGCAGAAAUCAAGUAGCAGCGGAAAGGGUGGUUUCUUGAGCUGCAAGAGUCAUAAAUCUGUUAUGGUUUCUAGUGAUUCAGACAGAAGAAGUAGCAUGAACAAGACAUCCAUGAGUUAUGUCCCGAGGUUCCCAAUGGAGACUACUAAAC